rnacentral:lncRNA from 1 species
UGAUGUUUUUUCCCCAAAUUUAUUCCAUACAGAUAGAAAUGUGCGAUAUGUGUAUACAUGUUUGUGUGUAGAUAUUUCCUUUUCCUCUUAUGCAAAUGAGAUCAUAUUCCAUUCAAUGUACUGCCUUUUUCUCUUGGCAAUGUGUCAAUUACCAUUCCAUAUCAAUACAGUUUUCUUAAUGGCUUCGUAAUAUGGGCUUCCCAUACUCCCUGUCUCUUCAUCUUCAGACCUGAGGGCCCCACUGUUUCCCUCCAAGUUCUGAGUCCCAACGCCAUCCUGCCUCGGACUUGUCAGUGACUUUGACCUCAAUCGUUGCUCCUUCACGUGGCAUUGUCAGGAGUCUCUAAUAUCCAGCAGGUGCCUGGCCCCAUGGGCUUUAUAAAAAUGGCAGCUCCCUUCUUCUGCACCCUGUGCUAUGCUAGGGCCAGCUGGGGGUACCAUAGAAUAAUGCCCGAGGGUGUAGACUCCCUGUCUUACCAGCCGUAUGACCUCAGGCAAGUGCCCUAACCUCUCUGAGCCUCAGUUUCCUCCGUUGCAUUGAGGCUAUUCACAGUCCCGUACAAUGAUGCUCACACAGCGCUGAGCCCAGGGCCCAGCUCGGAGCCAGUCGGCAUCACGUGAUCUUUCGGGAAGAAAAGGUGGGCAGAGCCCUGGGUCGGUGGCCACCUGCUUUUGGGUAGGGCACUAAUACAGGGUGCUGAAGCGGGAAGGUGAGGCCGAGCUGGGCGGCCCUGGGAACCCGGGAAGGAGGCGAGGCUGGAGUGGAAACGAUUAGAAUGAGAGCAAACUGGCUCCUGAAUAGAAGCUUUUAUUCCUGCCGGAGAGGGCUUUGUUCCACAAACACGUGACACACAAAAGCCUCUACUUGAAUUCGGGAACCCUAAUUGGUUCUCAGGUGGGGGAGGAGAGGGGUGUCCGGAUU